UAGAAUGAAUGACAUUAAUGUAGGUUU
rnacentral:piRNA from 1 species